rnacentral:rRNA from 1 species
UACGUAGGGGGCAAGCGUUGUCCGGAUUUAUUGGGCGUAAAGAGCUCGUAGGCGGCUUGGCAAGUCGGGUGUGAAAACUUCAGGCUCAACCUGGAGCGGCCACUCGAUACUGCCAUGGCUUGAGUCCGGUAGGGGACCACGGAAUUCCCGGUGUAGCGGUGAAAUGCGUAGAGAUCGGGAGGAACACCAGUGGCGAAGGCGGCCGGCUGGGGGUGACCUGACGCUGAGGCGCGAAAGCGUGGGGGAGCGA